rnacentral:lncRNA from 1 species
UAAUCCUUGAAUGCAGAAAAAUUCAAGUGAGUUGAGCCUAGGAUAAUACGAAAACAGUACAAAACUAGAUUCAUGUAAUUCACUUCCCUAAUGUAAAAAAAGGUACCUCAAAGGUUCAAGGCUGCUAAACUUCUAGAGCUUACAAAAAAAACUAUGCCAACAAUAGCAACCUUAAUUGCCCUAUGUGAGAAAGGUUGUCAAUUGUUAUUGAUCCAUAGAAUAAGGUUUCUUCAUAUGGCAUCAGUUUUAACUUGAAAGUAAUACCAAUUAUAUGUAACCGAAGGACUUAAUGAUUUUAUGCCCCCUA